CGGGGCUUAAUGUCUUGUAAUUGGAAUGAUGGGAAUUUAAACCUCUUCCAGAGUAUCAAUUGGAGGGCAAGUCUGGUGCCAGCAGCCGCGGUAAUUCCAGCUCCAAUAGCGUAUAUUAAAUUUGUUGCAGUUAAAAAGCUCGUAGUUGAAUUUCUGCUGCAUUACAUUUCUCUUGUUUGAGUUUGUUAUUGUGGCUUAUUUCGGAUUGAUUUUUAUCUUUCCGGAUGAUUACUUUGAGAAAAUUAGAGUGCUCAAAGCAGGCUUUUGCCUUGAAUAGUUUAGCAUGGAAUAAUAGAGUAGGACUUUGGUUCUAUUUUGUUGGUUUUAGGUACCAAAGUAAUGGUUAAUAGGAACAGUUGGGGGCAUUCGUAUUUAACUGUCAGAGGUGAAAUUCUUAGAUUUGUUAAAGACGAACUACUGCGAAAGCAUUUGCCAAGGAUGUUUUCAUUAAUCAAGAAC
rnacentral:rRNA from 1 species